rnacentral:tRNA from 1 species
AAAAAUUUAGUUAAAUAUAUAACAUUAGUUUGUCAAACUAAAAUUAUUUUAAAAAUUAAUUUUUA